rnacentral:rRNA from 1 species
UACGAAGGAUGCAAGCGUUAUCCGGAUUUAUUGGGUUUAAAGGGUGCGUAGGCGGACUUAUAAGUCAGUGGUGAAAUCUCGUUGCUUAACAACGAACGUGCCAUUGAUACUGUAGGUCUUGAGUACAGAUGCCGUUGGCGGAAUGUGUCAUGUAGCGGUGAAAUGCAUAGAUAUGACCCAGAACACCGAUUGCGAAGGCAGGCUACUACGACUUGAUUGACACUGAGGCACGAGAGCAUGGGUAGCGAACAGG